rnacentral:rRNA from 1 species
UACAGAGGUCCCGAGCGUUGUUCGGAUUCAUUGGGCGUAAAGGGUGCGUAGGCGGCGGGGCAAGUCUGAUGUGAAAUCCCGGGGCUCAACCCCGGAACUGCAUUGGAUACUGCCUUGCUCGAGUACUGGAGAGGGAACUGGAAUUUACGGUGUAGCAGUGAAAUGCGUAGAGAUCAUAAGGAAGGCCAGUGGCGAAGGCGAGUUCCUGGACAGUUACUGACGCUGAGGCACGAAGGCCAGGGGAGCAAACGGG